rnacentral:rRNA from 1 species
UACGGAGGAUGCAAGCGUUAUCCGGAAUGAUUGGGCGUAAAGGGUCCGCAGGUGGCCAUGUAAGUCUGCUGUCAAAGAAUGAGGCUUAACCUCAUCGAGGCAGUGGAAACUACAUAGCUAGAGUACGGUCGGGGUAGAAGGAAUUCCUGGUGUAGCGGUGAAAUGCGUAGAGAUCAGGAAGAACAUCGGUGGCGAAAGCGUUCUGCUAGACCUGUACUGACACUGAGGGACGAAAGCUAGGGGAGCGAAUGGG